GACGAAGGGGGCUAGCGUUGUUCGGAAUUACUGGGCGUAAAGGGCGCGUAGGCGGCCGUUUAAGUCAGGUGUGAAAGCCCUGGGCUCAACCUGGGAGUGGCACUUGAUACUGGAUGGCUAGAGAGUGGGAGAGGUUGGUGGAAUUCCCAGUGUAGAGGUGAAAUUCGUAGAUAUCAGGAGGAACACCGGUGGUGUAGACGGCUUACUGGACCACGACUGACACUGAGGCACGAAAGCGUGGGUAGCAAACAGG
rnacentral:rRNA from 1 species